GUGUUUCAGAAUAAUGCAUCCAGAAGCAUGCCCAAACACCCGUUUCGGGAACGUAUUCCGAAACAAAUAGUUCUGGGUCGUAUCUUUUUUACGCAAAACAGCACGCAUGCAAAUUUAACUAGCAAAUGUGCGUGCUGGGGGCAGCCUUUUGGGUGCCAUCUGGGUGUAUUUCAAUAUAGUGCAUCCAGGUGUAUUUUAGUGGGAAUGUAAAAAAACCAAACUCAAACCCGAAGGUUGCCGAUGCCCAUUUUUUUACAAUCGUCUUUUUUCGGUACUGUUCUCUUGACAAACAAAUAAUAAAGACAAAAGGGAAUAUGCAAGGAAGCGCGCGGUUUUUCUUGUCUCUUGCAUUUCUCGUCAGUUGCAUUUUUAGUUCUGAAAAGUGAAGUUCGUGCCUCGUGUUUUGAAAAAGUUUGUUGCUUUCUGCCACCAAUUUAACAUCAAUAUUUUCACAGAAUCGCAAGAAAUGAAUGGGCACACCAAGGACUGAACUGCGUAAAUGAUAAAAGUACAUCAACAAGAAGGAAGCAGCAAAGCCCCGUACAGAAGGAGAGUGACUCCGAUCAAAAAUUAGUUGAGUUCUUGAAUAUUGAAAUAAAAAAUAAAUAUGAAAUUGAAA